AUUGAACGCUGGCGGCAGGCCUAACACAUGCAAGUCGAGCGGAUGAAGGGAGCUUGCUCCUGGAUUCAGCGGCGGACGGGUGAGUAAUGCCUAGGAAUCUGCCUGGUAGUGGGGGAUAACGUCCGGAAACGGGCGCUAAUACCGCAUACGUCCUGAGGGAGAAAGUGGGGGAUCUUCGGACCUCACGCUAUCAGAUGAGCCUAGGUCGGAUUAGCUAGUUGGUGGGGUAAAGGCCUACCAAGGCGACGAUCCGUAACUGGUCUGAGAGGAUGAUCAGUCACACGGGAACUGAGACACGGUCCAGACUCCUACGGGAGGCAGCAGUGGGGAAUAUUGGACAAUGGGCGAAAGCCUGAUCCAGCCAUGCCGCGUGUGUGAAGAAGGUCUUCGGAUUGUAAAGCACUUUAAGUUGGGGGGAAGGGCAGUAAGUUAAUACCUUGCUGUUUUGACGUUACCAACAGAAUAAGCACCGGCUAACUUCGUG
rnacentral:rRNA from 1 species